UUUGGAAAAUGUAAAUGUGUAGUUCUGUAUAUAAAAUGGAAUAUAUAAUUACAAUGAAAUUAAUGUAAGUAAAUGUACCAUCAGAUGUAGACACUAUAGAACUAAUGUCUUGCACUACAAAAUGUGCUGAGAAGGCACAGAAUGUCACUGAAACACCAUGGAAGGCUUUGCUGAAAAAGAAUAGUGAGAGGGCGAAGAGGCACAGACAUCUAUGGGCCAAGCACUUCACACAGCUAAAAUGAAGUAAUGCUGAACAGUCAUGCAUGUGGAUGAGCUAAGAUCUAACUGGGAAAGCUGGCCAGUGUGUGAGGAAUGUUCAUCUAGGUACAGUGGAUGUGCCACAACUAGGUGGGCAAAGCAAAGGCCACCAAUGCAUAACUGUCAUAUGCCACCCUGAGGACCAAACCAAGGGACAUCUGUCUGUCCAAGCUCUACUGUACUGCAUUCUCCGUUCUACGGCCCUAGAUUGGGAGUGUGACACAUCGCACUGAAUGCUACAUGGCCACAGCAGCAUGCACUGACCUUCACGUGCUGUUCAUGUUACUGACCCCAUGGCCACCAUGUCAAGUUUCCAUAACACAUCACACUGCCUCCUGCAUGGGAACAAUGAGAUGGGCAGCCUUUGCCUUACCUUGAUGUCACUGAUGCCAUACCCAGCACAUCAAGUUUCCCUGCAGCCGUUUUGCUGAUGAGCAAAGCCUUCUCUAAUGGACUCAAACACUGCACAUAGAUCACAUGACUAUGCUGUCUCACAGUUUUUUUCUAGUGCUUUUAUUUAAUUUUAUCUAUAUUUUUAUCUAUCUAUCUAUCUAUCUAUCUAUCUAUCUAUCUAUCUAUCUAUCUAUCUAUCUAUCUAUCUAUCUAUCUAUCUAUCUAUCUAUCUCUCAUAUAUGAAUUUAUUUCUAUGUGUAUUCAUUCAGUUCUUUUCACUUUUACUGGGCAGUACCCACACUUUAAUCAUGUGUCCUAACAUUCAUGUACUGGGAAACAUGUUGUAGAAUUCAGUCAUGAUGUCAUAGUUCAAUUGAUAUUAAAAUAAUGAUUUAUUUUUGUUUGUGA